AUAAUAGUCCCUCCGUUCGGAAAUACUUGUCAUCAAAUUGGAUAAAAAGGUAUGUAUCUAGACAAUAAAAGAAGAUGUAUCUAGACGUAUUUUAGUUCUAGAUACAUCCCUUUUUAUCCAUUUUGAUGACAAGUAUUUUCGGACAGAGGGAGUAUAAU
rfam:Triticum aestivum genome assembly, contig: Triticum_aestivum_CS42_TGACv1_scaffold_499653_6BL